UACGAAGGGGGCUAGCGUUGCUCGGAAUCACUGGGCGUAAAGGGUGCGUAGGCGGCUCUUUAAGUCAGGGGUGAAAUCCUGGAGCUCAACUCCAGAACUGCCUUUGAUACUGAGGAUCUUGAGUUCGGGAGAGGUGAGUGGAACUGCGAGUGUAGAGGUGAAAUUCGUAGAUAUUCGCAAGAACACCAGUGGCGAAGGCGGCUCACUGGCUCGUAACUGACGCUCAUGCACGACAGCGUGGGGAUCAAACAGG
rnacentral:rRNA from 1 species